UAGCAUUAGCAUUGUAUUUUCAAGUCUGUCAUCAAACCAAAACUAAAGAAAUUCAAGAAAAUAAUCGCCACACAGUAUCAUACUUGGGAACCAAAAGUAAGCUUUGGUAACAAUGAUCAAGUUAGAUCACAUGAUGGUGCAGUUAUUGGCGGUAUAAUCACCAUAGGGGUACGUAUGUGGGCGGUACGACGAUCCAUAACCUUGAUGAUAGUGAUUGUAAUAAUUAUAAGGAUUCUGGUGAUCUGCCAUUGUCGACCUCCUUGGUGG
rnacentral:lncRNA from 1 species